UUUUUCUUUUUUUUUUUUUUUGUAAUUUUUCCCUUCCAGCUUCUUAUAAGCUUUUAAUGUUUAUCUUGUGGUUUUUGUUUUUUUAAUUUAUGGGUUUCAAUUUUGAUGGUAUUUGCCAUGUAAUGAAGAGUGGAUUGGGGAUUUGGAACUAGGGUUAGGGUUUUUAUUUUAUUUUGUUUUGUGUUGUCAUGGAAAUGGAGAGUACUCGUAGAUCCUUCGAUAGAUCGAGGGAACCGGGCUUGAAGAAGCCUCGAUUGGCCGAAGAUCGAACAAACGUUAAUGCUCGCCCUUUCCCUCAGAGGCCAGCUGCAGUACUGCCACCGCUGUCUUCUACUGCAAGAUUUAGAGCUACUAGCGAUAGAGAAUCAGAGAGCAAUGUUUUGAGCCGUGGCGGCGCGUACCAGCCGCAACCACAGCAAUAUCAGGAGCUCGUGAACCAGUACAAGACAGCUCUCGCGGAACUCACUUUCAAUUCGAAGCCUAUUAUCACUAACUUGACAAUAAUUGCUGGCGAAAAUCUCCAUGCAGCGAAGGCAAUUGCUGCCACUGUUUGCGCUAACAUUCUUGAGGCAAGCUUAAUUUUUGUGUGGAGUUGUUAUUCAGUAAUCUAGUUAGAAGUGCAGCGAGGAAUGCAACAGAUCUGGAAGUGGAUGAUAAAACAGAAGUAAAGGAAUGUUUCAAUUUAACAAAUCAGUCUGGAGUUGGGUUCUGCUUGAAACUUUUUAUGGAAUAAUGAAAGCUUAGGUUGUUAUUAAUGAAUACAGGUUCCCAGCGAACAAAAGCUGCCAUCACUUUAUCUUUUAGACUGUAUUGUAAAGAAUAUUGGGAGAGAUUACAUAAAAUACUUUGCUGCCAGACUACCUGAGGUAUUCUGCAAGGCGUAUGGGCAAGUUGAUCCUUCUGUGCAUUCAAGUAUGAGGCAUCUUUUUGGAACUUGGAAAGGAGUCUUCCCUCCUCAGUCACUUCAGAUGAUUGAGAAGGAACUUGGUUUUGCUACUGCAGCAAAUGGUUCAUCUUCUGGUGCUGCAACAUCUAGGCCUGAUGCACAGUCAAGGCGGCCACAACGUAGCAUUCAUGUUAACCCCAAGUAUUUGGAAAUACAGAGUCUUCAGCAAUCAGGCAGGGUCAGUGGAAUUCAUCAACCAUAUUUGAUAUUGUUGACUUUUUGGACAUGUCUCAGUGGCUAUGGUCAACUAUUUGAUACUUUCCAGUUAGUUUCUAGUAUCAAGUUGAAGAUAUUGUAAAGUUCAUGUCUGUAGGUUCUAACUGAUACGGAUAUUUCUCAUUCAGAUUUGUAAAGAAUUUAUAAGAAAUUUACAAAAGAUUUUGAAAUUUUUAUGCCGGUCUUAUAUUGGUGCAUUGUUGUUGCUUUUAGUGUUUGUGCCUGUGAUAUAUUCUGAUGCUGAUAUUCUAAUAAAAAUUUUGAGCAAUUGAUCAAUUUCUCUAUGUUUGAAGGAAAACUGUUGUUUUUGUACUAAAUGUUUAUCCUGCUUAUGGUCUUUUCUGUUUCUUUCCAUGCGAUGAAGCCAAAAGGACUGGCUAAUGACUCGACUGUUCCUUUAGCAAACACAACUGAGGAUGCAGGGAGUGCAGAAAGAGUAGUUGGUAUUGGUGCUGGACGUGCAUGGGUAGAUCCUCCUGUUAAAAUUCAGAACAUUCAGCAUUCUCAUAGAGAAACACUAAGUGAACCUGUUCAUGAGAAGAAAAGCAGUGCUGUGUAUGGAGAUUUUGAGUAUAGUUCUGACAUUUCAAGGAACUUAGGCGUGGGAAUUGAAAGAACCAAUGGAAGGGUUACUGAACAGGGAUAUGAAAAACCUUGGUAUGGAGCUGCCAACGGUGUCUCGGAAACAAUAUCUGGCCAAAAAAAUGGUUUAAGUAUGAAGCAUGCAUUUCCAAAUUUAUCAACGCCAAAGUCCGCCAAUGUUGAUUUGCAUUUACAGCCAACACAGGGCAUUGUAAGUAAAAGCAGCAGUCCAAUGUCUGGCAGCUGGAAAAACUCUGAGGAAGAGGAGUUUAUGUGGGAUAUGCACUCUAGGUUAUCAGAUCAGGAUGCAGCCAAUCUUUCUAAUAACUCCAGGAAAGAUCAUUGGACUCCUGAUGAUUCGGAGAAAUUUGAGUUUGAGAAUCAACUCAGAAAGCCGCAAAGUGCACAUGAGGUUGUGUCAAGUUUUGAUAGAGAAACUUCCUCUGAUUCACUGUCCACUGAACAUAAAGAACAAGUUUCUUUGAGGCGCCGUUUGUCCUCCCCAUGGCGAUUGAAGGAGUCACAUCCAACUGAUGGGCCAAUAAUUUCUGGGACUUCUAUUAUUAAUGCAGGUCAGAAAGAGGGCUAUUCUGCCACUUUUGGGGGGUUGCCUAUGAAUUCGUAUUCCUCUUUGCCCAAAGUGGCCAUUCGACAGCAUACUGGAACCUCAGGCUCUGGGUUAUCAGCCAACACAUCACUGGGGUCGGGGCAACAAGGGUUUCAGUCUAUAGGAGCAGCAUCACCAUCUAGACAGCUGCCCAUGCGUCGACAUCCACCCUCACUCUCUUUUCCAGCACGUUCACGCCAACAAUUGCAAAGCUCUGUGGAGCAAGACCUUUCUCGUCCUGAUUAUAAGGCACAGCAAUUGUCAGGGAAUUUGCUACAUUCGAAUGUUCAGCUUGGUAACUUGCAA
rnacentral:misc_RNA from 1 species